GGUAGUCCCGCUAGUCCGGACGUCCGGGAGGCGGGUAGGAAGGGAGGUCGCACCACCUUCCCGCGGUCCUCGGGGAUUGGUUUCUCCUUUCACGCGGCGCAGUGCUGAGGAUGGAAGCCAGGGCCUCCCAUAGGCUGGGCAAGUGCUCUACCACUGGACCACCUCCCGAGCCCUAACAGCUGUUUUUAGGCCACUGCCCUCGCCGAGCCUGUAUUCUAGAGGGACAGACGGCAACGUGCACAAUAGGUGACAAGCCACUGCUGUGUUUCUGCGUGGGGUGUGUCAUCCCUGCCCCCAGAAGCACAGGCAGCAACUCAGCCCUGUGCCUAAGAAGCUGCUGCUGAUGGCUGGAAUUGGCAGCUGCUACACUUCAGCCAGGGGCUGCACUGCCACCCUGGGCACCUUUGCCAAGGCCACCUUUGACGCCAUCUCCAAGACAUACAGCCCCCUGACCCCCCAUCUCUGGAAAGAGACUGUGUUCACCAAGUCUCCCCAUCAGGAAUUCACCGACUAUCUUGUGAAAACCCACACCAGACACUCUAUGCAGAAGGUCCAGCCUCCAGCUGUGGCUACAACAUAGGGUUUUUAUACAAGAAAAAUAAAGGGAAG